GCCCUUGUGGAUCUGGUGAUCAUCCCUCUCUUCGUAGCUUUUCAUGUUUCGCGUUGAAAUGAGGGAGGCGAAGGUUCGAUUCCUUCCGAGGGCA